ACUGCAGAGAGACGGGCAAGCACUCAGAAGCAUUUCGUUUGCCUUGAUCCUGGAGGCGCGCGGCCGUCUCCCGCUGGCUAGGAUUUGACGCGAACUCCUGGCAGAUCAGAAAUGUUCAGGCGAACGGCGGUUAUAUUUGUUCGUGGACCCAAUUAAGACUUCGUUGACGGCCAAAUAUGUAAGAUUUUCUUGUUUUUUAUUUGUGGCAUCUUAUUGUAAGACCAUGACCUAUUUUUCCGUUUUCUUUAGGGAACGCUGCAACAAGGACUGGUGUGGAUAGCGUGCUGCGCUGGUCUCGCCAACUGAAAAGAAUUCUGGUGUGCUGUAAAUGCCGACUGCACAAUAUGUGACUGGCCCGCGGCCGCUUUGAAGGUAAGAUUGUGUUCUCAUUAAUCUAUUUAUUGUACCAUUUCUUUUCCAGUGACAUUACGAGCCAACAAUGAAAACCUAUAUCCAUCCUGUCUUUACAUAUUAUCUAGUUUGUGCGCUGUGGAGCUUGAAGCACUUCUCAGAAUUUCAGCGCACUCGCAUUUAUUUCUUUCCCGACAGAAGAACAAUGCAAGUCUCACAUCUCGAUGAGGGUGGCGAUUUACCGUCUCACAUCUCAACGAUAAAACGUCGCAUCUGCGUACGUGUUCAGGGCCAAGAGCACGAGAACUGGCCGAAAGAAGGGAGCCGAUCCAACAAGAAUGCCGUCCUUCUUAUUAUGUCAGCGCUGUCAUGCAGCGAUCACGUGGACUGUAAGGUUGCGUUGCACAAGGGCUGAUGCAAACGCCCCGUGCGAACAAUGCUGCAUGUAAAAUUAGUGCAUCUAUACAAUUGCAAUAUAAACAUCUAA